GGGCUGUUGUGCUUGGAAGCAGCCUGGGUUUCGGCUGUCGGGAGCAGGGCUCCAGCUUCCUGCUUGGGAAAGAGCAGCAGCCUAUUAUAAUCAUACCCAGCGUGAUGGCACUGGCCAGAUGCGAACGCAGAGCCCACAAAGGUAUUCGCUAAAAAACGAGGCAGCGCUGCCAAUGCGUCUCCAGCCUUCAUUUAAAAACUACCGCGACUCCAGCCAGUCAAGCGGCAGCGUUGGAAGGUUCUCGCAGGAAGGAGGGCGCACAGUUGGCCUUCCCUAGGCCUGGUGGAAAAGAAGAGAGAACGGGGGAGAUACAAGCAACUUCGAAAAGGGGAA
rnacentral:lncRNA from 1 species